rnacentral:misc_RNA from 1 species
CAAGACGAUASCAGGAGGCUUUGUAUUCACCACCGCGCGUCGAGACGCUCCCGGGAUCCCUUGCUCGGAUUUUGGCCAACCGCGUGCGGUGGUCACGGGAGACCAGCUUCCGUCCGGCAUCCUUGUGGGAUGGGGGACGACGGUUUGUGACACCCAGGCGGACGUGCCCUCGGCCAAAACGCUUGGGGCCCAACUUGCGUUCAAAGACUCGAUGGUUCACGGGAUUCUGCAAUUCACACCAAGUAUCGCAUUUCGCUACGUUCUUCAUCCAUGCGAGAGCCGAGAUAUCCGUUGCCGASAGUCGUUUUAGACUUUAUAUUAAUCCACCGCAUCCGCCACACACCGUUUCCGGGGCGGCGGAAUAAGGCUGAACGGUUGCAUGUUCCUUGACACUUUUCGUGCCGGGGUUUUGUGAAGUCCGAAAGCUAUGCGAAAGGCACCGGGUMUGCCGGGAACCAGGCGCUUAGCCACGGAACCGGCAGGAACGGGAUCCGCUAAAAUACCGGCUGCCGGGAGUGAUGWUACGUUGYUCUCGGGUCGUUCUGUUUUGKACAGGCUUCGACMAUGAUMCUUCCGCAAGUUCACCUACGGAAACCUUGU